CACGUAGGCACCAAGCGUUGUCCGGAUUUACUGGGCGUAAAGAGCGCGCAGGCGGUCGGAUCAGUCGAAUGUGAAAGCCCCCGGCUCAACCGGGGAGGGUCAUUCGAUACUGUCCGACUCGAAGGCAGGAGAGGGAAGCGGAAUUCCCGGUGUAGUGGUGAAAUGCGUAGAUAUCGGGAGGAACACCAGUGGCGAAGGCGACUACCUGGCCUGUUCUUGACGCUGAGGCGCGAAAGCUAGGGGAGCAAACGGG
rnacentral:rRNA from 1 species